CCUGUCUGCUGUUUGUGAUGGUAACACCACUGGAUCUUCUGAGGGGAGAGGCUUACAUGCAUCCUGACUCUUCUCAGUCAGUUGUCGCUAUUAAUUGGCUUUUCCUGUCAUUACUUUCAAAAGACAGGCAAAAUCCACCACGAUAAUCUGAGAAUCACCCCCUCCCCCAACCAAAACACGCUGAGAGUAAUUAGCAGAAGGUUUAAUUGGCUCAAAAAGAAAAAUCUCUUGCUGAAACUGUACGUCUUUCAUGACAAAGACGCCCGUGCAGUCCCUAGACGAUCACGUUAAAAGUGAAGUAUUUGUUUGAUUGUCUCUCAAUGGAGUAUAAGAGGCCUCGCCAACAAUUCAGACGAAGACCGAGAGAGAGAAGGGGUGGAGUUUCUGAAGGCGACGGAAACAAAACUCCGUCUUUGACAGUGACAUCAAAGGAGAUGGCUUCUUUUGUGUUGGGAGAAGAGGCACAGAGCAGUGAAGGGGCCUGUCAGACAGUCAGACAAGUAAUGAUCUAUACACCCGAUGCUGAGGCUUCAACUCACAGCAAGACACAGACACGUUCAACAUGCUGCUCAUUCACAGAUUCCCGAUAAUAAUAGGAUUGAAGAUACCUUAUCAUUAUCCGUCUUGGUUUUUUCGACUAAUGCUUGUUAAGAAAUGAGGUAUAAUUUUAACAACCUGGGCAUUUCAUUUGCACAUCUUGUUAUUAGUUUAUACAAAUGUGUAUUCACACCCUAGC